rnacentral:rRNA from 1 species
UACGAAGGGGCUAGCGUUGCUCGGAAUCACUGGGCGUAAAGCGCACGUAGGCGGACUCUUAAGUCGGUGGUGAAAUCCUGGAGCUCAACUCCAGAACUGCCUUCGAUACUGGGAGUCUCGAGUCCGAGAGAGGUGAGUGGAACUGCGAGUGUAGAGGUGAAAUUCGUAGAUAUUCGCAGGAACACCAGUGGCGAAGGCGGCUUACUGGUCCAUUACUGACGCUGAGGUGCGAAAGCGUGGGGAGCAAACAGG